rnacentral:rRNA from 1 species
ACUCAAAUGAAUUGACGGGGACUUGCACAAGCAGUGGAUUAUGUGGUUUAAUUCGAUGGUAAACGAAGAACCUUACCAAGGUUAGAAAUCAUGUUGCAAGCCUUUAGAAACAUUGGCCCUCGCAAGACAAUAUGACAGGUGAUGCAUGGCCGUCGUCAGUUCGUGGUUUGAAUUGUACCCUUAAGUGGGCUAACGAACGCAACCCUCGUUGUGUGUUACAAGUGUCACACGAGACCGCCUCCGACUUUGCGCAUUAGAAAUUUUUUCUAGUGAAUAAAGUCGGGGGAGGAAGGAGAGGAUGACGCCAGGUCAGCAUGUCCCUUGAUACCUUGGGCUACACACAUAAUACAAUGGCCAUUACAACGCGCAGCGACGAGGCGACUCUGAGCUAAUCGUUUAAAAAUGGCCUCAGUUCGGAUUGGAGUCUGCAACUCGACUCCAUGAAGCUGGAAUUGCUAGUAAUCGCGGGUCAGCUAAACCGCGGUGAAUACGUUCUCAAGUCUUGUACACACCGCCCGU